UGGGGAAUAUUGCACAAUGGGGGAAACCCUGAUGCAGCGACGCAGCGUGCGGGAUGACGGCCUUCGGGUUGUAAACCGCUUUCAGCAGGGAAGAAGCCUCACGGUGACGGUACCUGCAGAAGAAGUACCGGCUAACUACGUGCCAGCAGCCGCGGUAAUACGUAGGGUACGAGCGUUGUCCGGAAUUAUUGGGCGUAAAGAGCUCGUAGGUGGUUGGUCACGUAGGCUGGGGAAACGCAACGCUUAACGUUGCGCUUGCAGUGGGUACGGGCUGACUAGAGUGCAGUAGGGGAGUCUGGAAUUCCUGGUGUAGCGGUGAAAUGCGCAGAGAUCAGGAGGAACACCGGUGGCGAAGGCGGGACUCUGGGCUGUAACUGACACUGAGGAGCGAAAGCAUGGGGAGCGAACA
rnacentral:rRNA from 1 species